AUUGAACGCUGGCGGCAGGCCUAACACAUGCAAGUCGAGCGAGCGGCGGACGGGUGAGUAAUGUCUGGGAAACUGCCUGAUGGCGGGGGAUAACUACUGGAAACGGUAGCUAAUACCGCAUACCAUCAGAUGUGCCCAGAUGGGAUUAGCUAGUAGGUGGGGUAACGGCUCACCUAGGCGACGAGCCCUAGCUGGUCUGAGAGGAUGACCAGCCACACUGGGACUGAGACACGGGCCAGACGCCUACGGGAGGCAGCAGUGGGGAAUAUUGCACAAUGGGCGCAAGCCUGAUGCAGCCAUGCCGCGUGUGUGAAGAAGGCCUUCGGGUUGUAAAGCACGUUCAGCGGGGAGGCGUUACCCGCAGAAGAAGCACCGGCUAACUCCGUGCCAGCAGCCGCGGUAAUUC
rnacentral:rRNA from 1 species